rnacentral:rRNA from 1 species
CAGUCGACGCUUUGUGGUCCAACUGAUUUGAAGAGCUUGCUCAGAUAUGACGAUGGACAUUGCAAAGAGUGGCGAACGGGUGAGUAACACGUGGGAAACCUACCUCUUAGCAGGGGAUAACACUUGGAAACAAGUGCUAAUACCGUAUAACACUAAUAACCGCAUGGUUAUUAGUUAAAAGAUGGUCUUGCUAUCACUAAGAGAUGGUCCCGCGGUGUAUUAGCUGGUUGGUAAGGUAAUGGCUUACCAAGGCAAUGAUACAUAGCCGAGUUGAGAGACUGAUCGGCCACAAUGGGACUGAGACACGGCCCAUACUCCUACGGGAGGCAGCAGUAGGGAAUCUUCCACAAUGGACGAAAGUCUGAUGGAGCAACGCCGCGUGUGUGAUGAAGGGUUUCGGCUCGUAAAACACUGUUGUAAGAGAAGAAUGACAUUGAGAGUAACUGUUCAGUGUGUGACGGUAUCUUACCAGAAAGGAACGGCUAAAUACGUGCCAGCAGCCGCGGUAAUACGUAUGUUCCAAGCGUUAUCCGGAUUUAUUGGGCGUAAAGCGAGCGCAGACGGUUAUUUAAGUCCGAAGUGAAAGCCCACAGCUUAACUGUGGAAGUGCUUUGGAAACUGGAUAACUUGAGUGCAGUAGAGGAGAGUGGAACUCCAUGUGUAGCGGUGAAAUGCGUAGAUAUAUGGAAGAACACCAGUGGCGAAGGCGGCUCUCUGGACUGUAACUGACGUUGAGGCUCGAAAGUGUGGGUAGCAAACAGGAUUAGAUACCCUGGUAGUCCACACCGUAAACGAUGAGU